rnacentral:rRNA from 1 species
GACGAACGCUGGCGGCGUGCCUAAUACAUGCAAGUCGAGCGAAGCGGCAGCUGGGUGAGUACCGCGUGGGUAACCUGCCCUUAAGUCUGAGAUACCAUUUGAAAACAGAUGCUAAUGCCGGAUACUAAAGGAUGGACCUGGUAUGCAUUAGCUAGUUGGUAAGGUAACGGCUUACCAAGGCGAUGAUGCAUAGCCGGGUUGAGAGACUGAUCGGCCACAUGGGGACUGAGACACGGCCCAAACUCCUACGGGAGGCAGCAGUAGGGAAUCUUCCACAAUGGACGAAAGCCUGAUGGAGCAACGCCGCGUGAGUGAAGAAGGUUUUCGGAUCGUAAAGCUCUGUUGUUGGUGAAGCGUUAAUCAACCAGAAAGUCACGGCUAACUACGUGCCAGCAGCCGCGGUAAUAC